rnacentral:rRNA from 1 species
UCGUAACAAGGUCUCCGUUGGUGAACCAGCGGAGGGAUCAUUACUGAGUUACCGCUCAUCAACCCUUUGUGAACAUACCUUAACUGUUGCUUCGGCGGGUAGGCGUCCCCUAAAAAGGACGUCUCCCGGCCCUCUCCCGUCCGCGGGUGGGGCGCCCGCCGGAGGAUAACCAAACUCUGAUUUAACGACGUUUCUUCUGAGUGACACAAGCAAAUAAUCAAAACUUUUAACAACGGAUCUCUUGGUUCUGGCAUCGAUGAAGAACGCAGCGAAAUGCGAUAAGUAAUGUGAAUUGCAGAAUUCAGUGAAUCAUCGAAUCUUUGAACGCACAUUGCGCCCGCCAGCAUUCUGGCGGGCAUGCCUGUUCGAGCGUCAUUUCAACCCUCAAGCUCUGCUUGGUGUUGGGGCUCUACGGUUGACGUAGGCCCUUAAAGGUAGUGGCGGACCCUCUCGGAGCCUCCUUUGCGUAGUAACAUUUCGUCUCGCAUUGGGAUUCGGAGGGACUCUAGCCGUAAAACCCCCAAUUUUACUAAGGUUGACCUCGGAUCAGGUAGGAAUACCCGCUGAACUUAAGCAUAUCAA